UACGUAGGGGGCAAGCGUUGUCCGGAUUUAUUGGGCGUAAAGAGCGUGUAGGCGGCCAAACAGGUCAGCUGUGAAAACUCGAGGCUCAACCUCGAGACGUCGGUUGAAACCGUUUGGCUAGAGUCCGGAAGAGGAGAGUGGAAUUCCCAGUGUAGAGGUGAAAUUCGUAGAUAUUGGGAAGAACACCGGUGGCGAAGGCGGCGACCUGGUCCGAUACUGACGCUGAGGAGCGAAAGCGUGGGGAGCGAACAGG
rnacentral:rRNA from 1 species